GGCUCAGAUUGAACGCUGGCGGCAUGCCUUACACAUGCAAGUCGAACGGCAGCGGGCCUUCGGGUGCCAGCGAGUGGCGAACGGGUGAGUAAUGCAUCGGAACGUGCCAUUGAGUGGGGGAUAACGUAGCGAAAGUCACGCUAAUACCGCAUAUUCUGUGAGCAGGAAAGCAGGGGACCGCAAGGCCUUGCGCUCUUUGAGCGGCCGAUGUCAGAUUAGCUAGUUGGUGAGGUAAAGGCUUACCAAGGCGACGAUCUGUAGCGGGUCUGAGAGGAUGAUCCGCCACACUGGAACUGAGACACGGUCCAGACUCCUACGGGAGGCAGCAGUGGGGAAUUUUGGACAAUGGGCGCAAGCCUGAUCCAGCCAUGCCGCGUGAGUGAAGAAGGCCUUCGGGUUGUAAAGCUCUUUCGGCCGGGAAGAAAUCGCAUGGGUUAAUACCCUGUGUGGAUGACGGUACCGGAAUAAGAAGCACCGGCUAACUACGUG
rnacentral:rRNA from 1 species